UGGAGUCCACUAGCUUUAAAUUCAACUC
rnacentral:piRNA from 1 species